rnacentral:rRNA from 1 species
GACGAACGCUGGCGGCGUGCUUAACACAUGCAAGUCGAACGGUAAGGCCCUUCGGGGUACACGAGUGGCGAACGGGUGAGUAACACGUGGGUGAUCUGCCCUGCACUUCGGGAUAAGCCUGGGAAACUGGGUCUAAUACCGGAUAGGACUCCUGCCUGCAUGGGUGGGGGUGGAAAGUUUUUGCGGUGUGGGAUGGGCCCGAGGCCUAUCAGCUUGUUGGUGGGGUGAAGGCCUACCAAGGCGACGACGGGUAGCCGGCCUGAGAGGGUGACCGGCCAGACUGCGACUGAGAUACGGCCCAGACUCCUACGGGAGGCAGCAGUGGGGAAUAUUGCACAAUGGGCGCAAGCCUGAUGCAGCGACGCCGCGUGAGGGAUGACGGACUUCGGGUUGUAAACCUCUUUCAGCACAGACGAAGCGCAAGUGACGGUAUGUGCAGAAGAAGGACCGGCCAACUACGUGCCAGCCGCCGCGGUAA